rnacentral:sRNA from 1 species
GCAUCUGCAAAACCAGAUGUCGGGAUUUGCACCCUGCUGUAAGCUACCGCGGACAUGUACACGCCGCGAGCGCGUUUUUU